AAACGUAGGAGGCGAGCGUUAUCCGGAUUUACUGGGUGUAAAGCGCGUGCAGGCGGUUCUGCAAGUGGGACGUGAAGGCGCCCGGCUCAACCGGGCGAGGACGUACCGAACUGCGGGACUAGAGGCAGGGAGAGGCGUGUGGAAUUCCGGGUGUAGUGGUGAAAUGCGUAGAGAUCCGGAGGAACACCAGUGGCGAAGGCGACACGCUGGGCCUGGCCCGACGCUCAGACGCGAAAGCAU
rnacentral:rRNA from 1 species